rnacentral:misc_RNA from 1 species
AAGGAGUCUAACAUAUCUGCGAGUAUUUGGGUGUCAAACCCGAGUGCGCAAUGAAAGUGAACGUAGGAGCGAUCCGCAAGGUGCGGCUUCGACCGAUCUGGAUCUUUAGUGAUGGAUUUGAGUAAGAGCAUAUAUGCUGGGACCCGAAAGAUGGUGAACUCUGCCUGAAUAGGGCGAAGCCAGAGGAAACUCUGGUGGAGGCUCGUAGCGAUUCUGACGUGCAAAUCGAUCGUCAAAUUUGGGUAUAGGGGCGAAAGACUAAUCGAACCAUCUAGUAGCUGGUUCCUGC